CAUUUGUUGAGCCAACUUCCUGCCAGUUUCCCACAACCAAAGUCAGUGGGAAAGUUGGUAGGAAGUUGUAAGUUCCAGGCUGGCAGGCAGCAUUGAAGACAAGACAGCUGUUUGUCAAUCAAGGGCAAUGCCUUGUCAUUUCAUGGCCUCCUGCAGAAGAUAAAUAUGGGGUCUAUGUGUGCUUAGUCAGCUUUGCCCAUUCCCUUUUUUAUAAGUUCUGUGAAAAGAACUGGAAGCAGGGCCUUUAAGUCUGAACUUCAAGAAGCUUGUCCAGCUUCCUUUGAUGGCAGGUGAAGAGAAGCUGCUGGGAUGAUGCCCACCUUAACCUUCAGUGCUCCUCUACUGCACUUGUUGCUAAUGAAGAAAAAAAUGGCUGGCCUCUUUGUUUGGCUUGUGCUUCUUGGAGGAAGAACAUCAGGAGAAAAGGUGACCAUGGAACCUGAUUGCAUCUAGACCACACAAACAAGGUCUUCCUGUGGACCCUCUUUCAAUGCCAUCACCCAUUCCUGGCAGCUUCAUCAUCAUCAUCAUCUUCUUCUCAAGUAGUAUCUGGACAGAUUGCAAGAUUCCCAAAAUACUGCAUCAUUCUCCCUCCCCUUCUUUCUUUGGAUGCACCAGAUAACAGUAAUAGUAGUGAUGAUGAUGAUGUAUGUAAUAAUGUUACAUAACAACCGCGAUUCUCAGCCUAAAAUGGAGGCAAAAGGAAAAGCUGUUCUUAUUUAGAAGGCAGAGCUAAGGCAGACAGGGCAAGCUGUUCCACCCACUAGAUGAAAAAGUGAAACCCCAGCUUUCUGUCUAGAAAGAGGGGAAUUCAACUCCUUUCCAGCCAGCAUCAUUUUUAAUAACUGAGAGCUAUAUAAAAAUCAUACUCAUUGUUGC